ACCGCUGGCUCUUCUGGCCCUUCAUCCUGCGGAGGCAGGGGCCCGACGAGACGAGAGAGGCUGGAGGGCACCACUCCAGACAGACGGAUGGACAGACAGGGGCCACACUCAGCACCCCCAGCACUCACAGGGAUGUGUCCUCCCAUCUCGAUGUGACUCCAGAUACCUCUGCACCCCUUGCAGGGCAGAGGUGGGGUCAGCCACGGGGGCACAUGUGUCCCUCAGUGGGAGUCAGGGGCCACGAAAGCGAUGGAGGGGUGCCGAGGAUGAGCGGCGAAAACAGGCAGAAGGGUCACCUGAGUCCACAUCCUUGGCCAAUCUGGCAGCACGGUCGCUGUCCCCCGGGGGCUGCAGGUGCAUCAGGUUCCUGGAGCCCAGAGCCACCAACACCACCUGUACAGCCACACACGCAGCCCAGCUCAGCCCUGCUGGGCUGCAGCCCGCGAGGGAGGCCAGGGAAGGAGGUGCCGGGCCACGGUCCCCCACCGGCCUCCCGCUACAGCUACCUGGGUGGCUGGGCCUCCCUCCACCCCUGGGGGACCCUGGGCCUCCCUGGCAGGCCCUGGACAGUCUGCUUAACAGCUUCACAUCAGCGUCUUCCAGGAAGUUUUGGCUUCUGGAAAAGGAGCACACUCCCAGAAUGACUUGUAAGAACGUGUUUGAAGCUGAGCGUGUAACUCAGGCACCGUGAAAGGCGCACGUCCUGUGUCCUGCUGGUUACACAUUCACCCGUCUAUGCCCGUGAGACCCCACCUCUGUAAUGGGAUCCACAUGGAGCCCCCAGCACCUCUGAGAGCCCCUCGUGCCCCGUGUCCCUUCCCAGUCACUCUCCCAGGGUAACCUCUCCUCUGACCUCUGACCUCCGUCACCUCCGUCGUCAACUCUUGACGUCACGUAAACCGAAACUUCUCUCCCUUGGCACCAGGAAUGUUCACUCCGUGAGCUCCCUCCCAAGGCUCUAGGGGAGCACCUUCCUGCCCUCUCCAGCCUCUGGGGGCUCCGGGGGCUCCUUGGCUUGUUCAUGUGGCCUCACCGCCAUGUUGGAAUUUCCCUCUUCUUAGAAGGACCCCGGUCAUCAGAUCGGGGCCCACCCUGCUCCACCGUGACCAAGACUUAACUUGAUUACAUCUACAAAGACCCUAUUUCCAAAUAGGGUCCCAUUCUGAGUUGACAUGAGUCUAGGCAGGGGAUGGGGACAUUGCUCAACCUACCGUCGUAUGUGAUCCAAGAACUCAAUGAGAAAAGCGCCAGGCCUCAAACAGCAUUAUCAGCUCAGAGUCAAGCAAAAUGAAACAUUCUUUAAAAAAAAAUUUUUUUUAAUCUUUAUUUAUUUUUGAGAGAGAGACAGACAGAGAGCGAGCGGGAGAGGGGCAGAGAAAGAGGGGGAGACACAGACUAGGAAGCCGGCUCCAGGCUCUGAACUGUCAGCACAGUGCCUGUCGCGGGAUUCGAACUCGCAAACUGCAAGGUCAUGACCUGAGCCAAUCGGACGCUUAGCUGACCGCGCCCCCCAGGCGCCCCAGAACACUCUAUCUGACACAAGGUGCACUACGUUUUAUACACACGGAUCACCCCUCCCCAGAGCAAGAGCCCGGCAGCAGGUGGAGAGGCUCCGAGAGGCUGGUGUGCGGCUUCCCCCUGGGGUCACCUAUUUCCUGACACUCCUGGGGCUCCGGGUUCGGGUGCUGGGGACUCAGACCAGAAAGGGAGCUGCCACCAUUUUAAGGUCUUAUCUGCUGAUCCCCGAGCCACCCCUCGCCUUUCUGCAGAGCCCGGCAAGUUGUGUCCUGCCGGGAAGUCCCAGGAGACACCAACGGGGCGAAGUCUGGUUUGCGCGGGCCGGCUUCCAGCACCGCCGCUUCGGAUGUCCGUUUGCUCCAACAUCGACCAUCCCCUGGGCCGGAGGGGGGUGACCUCGUCUGCGCUGGGGUCAGGAGUCUGCCGUGCCAGCUUCGUGACCGAUCACGACGCCAGCUCAGAGUCUCGACCCCUCCUGCCUGAGCGCUCCGCUCUUUGCUCUUGAGGAUUGUGGAACAGCCUCAGGG